UACGAAGGGGGCUAGCGUUGCUCGGAAUCAUUGGGCGUAAAGGGCGCGUAGGCGGCCGCUCAAGUCGGAUGUGAAAUCCCUCGGCUUAACCGAGGAACUGCAUUCGAUACUGGGUGGCUAGAGUCCGGGAAGGGGUAGUGGAAUUCCCAGUGUAGCGGUGAAAUGCGUAGAUAUUGGGAAGAACACCGGUGGCGAAGGCGGCUACCUGGACCGGUACUGACGCUGAGGCGCGAAAGCCAGGGGAGCGAAUGGG
rnacentral:rRNA from 1 species